CUUCACCCUCUCUCGUUUAAAACUCAACACUCCGACCAUAGGUCCGAACGUUGCUGGGUUUUUUUUUUUUAAUCGCUUCUGCAGCACCCACUAGAUAGAAAUAACGCCACAAAAAUCCAGAGUUUUCCUCCUGGGAGCCCAGCGAUUCCCAGUUUCUUUCGGCAGUUUGUGUCUCUUCUGCCUGCAUGCAACACCCGGCACUUGGACCCCCUUAAAAACCCGCAGGACGUGACGUAGUUUGCGAUUCACCAGGUAACGUCCCCGCCCCCCACGCCGAAGGAUCAGAUCAAGUCAAGAAGCAGAAGAAGAAACCAAACCAGGAAAGGCUUUAUUGGUCAUCGGAGAGCAACCUGAACAUUUUCUCCUGCUAAUCACAACAACUCCCCAACACGGGGAGGACAGCGCAUCCUCAGCCCUUCAUUUAAAAAACAAAUUAAAAAAAGAGUACAGUAGGUCCUCAGACAAGCCCGCUUUGCCUUUUAAAAUCUCCCCCCCCAAUCCCCCUCCGAAAUAUUUACAUCAUUCAUACGCCCGUACGUUUCUCCAACCAAACCCGUCUGGGGUCUAAUCUCAAGCCCCUCCCCCCGUGUCCUACACGAACGCACCCCACAAAAAAAGACGUCCGGCACAAAACGAGACACCCCACAGAGGCCCGGAACGGGGGGUCCUGACUCCUGGUCCCGCCCACAAGAGGGGAGUCUUCCGGCCAUCAUCCCAGCUGGGCUCUCGGAGACCUGCUGGAUCCCGCCAGCGACUUCACCCGGCUUCAAUUCCGGACUUCGGACACGGACUGGGUUUCCGAAACUCCUCGGAAAGGCCGUUUUGGUCAGAUCUCGACGGACAGGUGGACGGUGACUAUCUCUCCGCGAGUCUCCCUACAAAACUUCCCGGGCUUUGGAAAGCGACACGCCUGCUGGAGUUGGGAGCAUCCUGGCUCCCUCGAAGCCAGAGGAACGGCCCGUCCGCUUGUAAAAACCAGGCUUCGGUGAGGUGACAAGACGUUAUACGGACACCAGGGAGCAGCAGAGAGCCGGGUCGGAAAAGCACCGCGCGAUCGUCGCGUUCCCCGUCCUCUCGACCGCAGAUUCUUCGGGGGGGGGGGGGCUGAAAUUCCCGGCGCUCUCCCUGCAGCAGGAUCGAGAGGUUUUCCGCUCACAGAUCCGCCUGGAACGGACGGCCCGGAGGGUUGAAAGGCAGUCGGAUCCGGCUGAAGGAUCCGGGGAUCCUGGGGCAGGGGGAGAGGCGUUUGGCCUCCCCGGUGGCAGAGGUCCGGGAAUCGGCCGGCUGGGCCGAUACCCCCCCGCUGGGAGGUUAGCGGGUUCGAGGCCCUGCCGCAGAGGGGGCGCCGGAGACCCCAGUUGCCCU
rnacentral:lncRNA from 1 species